rnacentral:rRNA from 1 species
UACGUAGGGUGCAAGCGUUGUCCGGAAUUAUUGGGCGUAAAGAGCUCGUAGGCGGUUUGUCGCGUCUGCUGUGAAAACGCGAGGCUCAACCUCGCGCCUGCAGUGGGUACGGGCAGACUGGAGUGCGGUAGGGGAGAUUGGAAUUCCUGGUGUAGCGGUGGAAUGCGCAGAUAUCAGGAGGAACACCGAUGGCGAAGGCAGAUCUCUGGGCCGUGAACUGACGCUGAGGAGCGAAAGCGUGGGGAGCGAACAGG